rnacentral:rRNA from 1 species
GACGGUGAUGAGGAGCUUGCUUCUCUGAUCAGUGGCGAACGGGUGAGUAACACGUGAGCAAUCUGCCCUUGACUCUGGGAUAAGCGUUGGAAACGACGUCUAAUACCGGAUACGACCUUUGGAGGCAUCUCUGGGGGUGGAAAGAAUUUUGGUCAAGGAUGAGCUCGCGGCCUAUCAGCUAGUUGGUGAGGUAAUGGCUCACCAAGGCGACGACGGGUAGCCGGCCUGAGAGGGUGACCGGCCACACUGGGACUGAGACACGGCCCAGACUCCUACGGGAGGCAGCAGUGGGGAAUAUUGCACAAUGGGCGAAAGCCUGAUGCAGCAACGCCGCGUGAGGGACGACGGCCUUCGGGUUGUAAACCUCUUUUAGUAGGGAAGAAGCGAAAGUGACGGUACCUGCAGAAAAAGCACCGGCUAACUACGUGCCAGCAGCCGCGGUAAUACGUAGGGUGCAAGCGUUGUCCGGAAUUAUUGGGCGUAAAGAGCUCGUAGGCGGUUUGUCGCGUCUGCUGUGAAAACCCGAGGCUCAACCUCGGGCCUGCAGUGGGUACGGGCAGACUAGAGUGCGGUAGGGGAGAUUGGAAUUCCUGGUGUAGCGGUGGAAUGCGCAGAUAUCAGGAGGAACACCAAUGGCGAAGGCAGAUCUCUGGGCCGUAACUGACGCUGAGGAGCGAAAGCAUGGGGAGCGAACAGGA